GGAAUCUUCGGCAAUGGACGAAAGUCUGACCGAGCAACGCCGCGUGUGUGAUGAAGGGUUUCGGCUCGUAAAACACUGUUGUAAGAGAAGAAUGACAUUGAGAGUAACUGUUCAAUGUGUGACGGUAUCUUACCAGAAAGGAACGGCUAAAUACGUGCCAG
rnacentral:rRNA from 1 species